CUCCUUUAUAAGCAGCUUGCCGGCGAGAGGCGCUAGUUGCAAAGUUUCCGGUUCCGGGGAGGGUGUGACUUCGCGACCAUUUGAAAGUUACGGCGCGAGGGUCUCUGGGUGCUUUCGCCUCAGAGGGUACUGAAAUUGUUAGUGUUCUAGGGUGUGGGUCUCUUGGGUCGUAAGAGCAAGGCUUGGUGUGAGGUGUACUGCCCGGUGAUUCCCGCACUGUCCUGGGACGCAUGCAGAGUCCGUAGGUUACGCCAGGUCCUUACAGCGUCACAGGUGGCUUCCUGUUUGAAGGGCUCUCCGAUGAGGAGGAUGACUUUCACCCAGUAAGUGGCCCGGCUGCGUGCCAGUUGGGGGAGAUGGUGCCGGGGAUGCAGCCCUCCCUGGGACCCGGCA
rnacentral:lncRNA from 1 species